UACGGGGGGGCAAGCGGUUGUUCGGAAUUACUGGGCGUAAAGGGCUCGUAGGCGGCCAACUAAGUCGGAUGUGAAAUCCCCAGGCUCAACCUGGGAACUGCAUCCGAUACUGGAUGGCUUGAAUUCGGGAGAGGGAUGCAGAAUUCCAGGUGUAGCGGUGAAAUGCGUAGAUAUCUGGAGGAAUACCGGUGGCGAAGGCGGCUCUCUGGACCGAGACUGACGCUGAGGCGCGAAAGCGUGGGGAGCAAACAGGG
rnacentral:rRNA from 1 species